rnacentral:rRNA from 1 species
UUCGCAAUGCCCGAAAGGGUGACGAAGCGACGCCGCGUGGGUGAGGAAGGCCUUCGGGUUGUAAAGCCCUGUCAGGAGUUAAGAAAUGUAAGUGCGCUAAUAUCGCAUUUAUUUGACGAAGGCUCCAAAGGAAGCCACGGCUAACUCUGUGCCAGCAGCCGCGGUAAUACAGAGGUGGCAAGCGUUGUUCGGAAUUAUUGGGCGUAAAGAGCACGUAGGUGGGUUUGUAAGUCAGAUGUGAAAGCCUUCUGUUCAACGGAAGAAUUGCAUCUGAAACUGCGAGUCUUGAGUGUAGGAGGGGAGAAUGGAACUUCUGGUGGAGCGGUGAAAUGCGUAGAUAUCAGAAGGAACGCCGGCGGCGAAAGCGAUUCUCUGGCCUAUUACUGACACUCAGUGUGCGAAAGCUAGGGGAGCAAACGGGAUUAGAUACCCCGGUAGUCCUAGCCGCAAACGAUGGGCACUAAGUAGAGGGGUUUU